UACGGAGGAUGCAAGCGUUAUCCGGAAUGAUUGGGCGUAAGGCGUCCGCAGGUGGCAAUGUAAGUCUGCUGUUAAAGAGUCUAGCUCAACUAGAUAAAAGCAGUGGAAACUACAUAGCUAGAGUACGUUCGGGGCAGAGGGAAUUCCUGGUGUAGCGGUGAAAUGCGUAGAGAUCAGGAAGAACACCAGUGGCGAAGGCGCUCUGCUAGGCCGUAACUGACACUGAGGGACGAAAGCUAGGGGAGCGAAUGGG
rnacentral:rRNA from 1 species